rnacentral:rRNA from 1 species
UACAGAGGUCCCAAGCGUUGUUCGGAUUCACUGGGCGUAAAGGGUGCGUAGGUGGUAGGGUAAGUCUGAUGUGAAAUCUCCAAGCUCAACUUGGAAAUGGCAUUGGAAACUACCUUGCUUGAGAUUUGGAGGGGGGACUGGAAUUCUCGGUGUAGCAGUGAAAUGCGUAGAUAUCGAGAGGAACACCAGUGGCGAAGGCGAGUCCCUGGACAACAUCUGACACUGAGGCACGAAAGCUAGGGGAGCAAACAGG